rnacentral:rRNA from 1 species
AUUGAACGCUGGCGGCAGGCCUAACACAUGCAAGUCGAGCGAGCGGCGGACGGGUGUGUAAUGUCUGGGGACUGCCCGAUAGAGGGGGAUAACUACUGGAAACGGUGGCUAAUACCGCACACCGUCGGAUAACCCAUAUGGGAUUAGCUAGUAGGUCAGGUAAUGGUUCACCUAGGCGACGAUCCCUAGCGGGUCUGAGAGGAUGAUCAGCCACACGGGAACUGAGACACGGCCCAGACUCCUACGGAGGCAGCAGUGGGGAAUAUUGCACAAUGGGCGCAAGCCUGAUGCAGCCAUGCCGCGUGUAUGAAGAAGGCCCUAGGGUUGUAAAGUACUUUCAGUCGGGAGGCGUUACCGACAGAAGAAGCACCGGCUAACUCCGUGCCAGCAGCCGCGGUAAUAC